rnacentral:rRNA from 1 species
CCUACGGGUGGCAGCAGUAGGGAAUAUUGCUCAAUGGGGGAAACCCUGAAGCAGCAACGCCGCGUGGAGGAUGAAGGUUUUCGGAUUGUAAACUACUUUUGUUAGAGAAGAUAAUGUUGGUAUCUAACGAAUAAGCAACGGCUAACACCGUGCCAGCAGCCGCGGUAUUACGGAGGGUGCAAGCGUUACUCGGAAUGACUGGGGGUAAAGAGCGCGGAGGCGGGAUAGCAAGUCAGAUGUGAAAUCCUAUGGCUUAACCAUAGAACUGCAUUUGAAACUGUUAGUCUAGAGUCUGGGAGAGGUAGGUAGAAUUCGAGGUGUAGGGGUAAAAUCCGUAGAGAUCUAGAGGAAUACUCAUGGCGAAGGCGACCUGCUAGAACAUGACUGACGCUGAUGCGCGAAAGCGUGGGGAGCAAACAGGAUUAGAUACCCUGGUAGUC